rnacentral:rRNA from 1 species
UACGUAAGGUCCGAGCGUUGUCCGGAAUUACUGGGCGUAAAGAGCUCGUAGGUGGUUUGUCGCGUUGUUCGUGAAAACUCACAGCUCAACUGUGGGCGUGCGGGCGAUACGGGCAGACUUGAGUACUGCAGGGGGAGACUGGAAUUCCUGGUGUAGCGGUGGAAUGCGCAGAUAUCAGGAGGAACACCGAUGGCGAAGGCAGCUCGCUGGGACGGUACUGACG